CUUCAAACCGGCACACUCCACAGAGACUGCCCUUUUGGCUGUCACUGAGAAGCUACAUGCCGCUAGAUCAGCC